UCUGCGAAGCUGUCCGCGCGGCCUGGCCAUCGGCGGCUGCCAAGAGCCCGCGAGCGGGCCAGGAGCGCGGCCGGGUGAGGCGCAAUCUUGGUGCAACAAGCCGCACGGGGCCAACUUCCUCCCUCCCCAGUUUGCAGAAGAAAACCGAGGUUCUUAGGAGGAUCCCAUGAGUCAUGUGAAUAAAACAGUUCGAAGUGCAAAAACGCCAGAGUUCAGGGAACGAUGGUUAUCAUCACAUUUAUUGUUAUUGAAGCAGACCAGAGAGCAGUGUGGGACGUCGCCAGCCCUCAAAGGGUGUCGCCGUUGCUCACCUGUCCUCCAUCCAGCCAUCCACGCACCGUGUAUUCAGUACCUUUAGUGAACUGGGCACUGUUUUAAUAAAGAAAACAGAAAUUUGUUUUCAAA